GCCUUCGUGAUGUAAUGGACAGCACGCUCUGCGAGCAAUCAAGAGGUCCGAGGUUCGAAUCCCGGCGAAGGCA
rnacentral:tRNA from 1 species